rnacentral:rRNA from 1 species
UCAUUGGAGAGUUUGAUCCUGGCUCAGGACGAACGCUGGCGGCGUGCUUAACACAUGCAAGUCGAACGGAAAGGCCCUGCUUUUGUGGGGUGCUCGAGUGGCGAACGGGUGAGUAACACGUGAGUAACCUGCCCUUGACUUUGGGAUAACUUCAGGAAACUGGGGCUAAUACCGGAUAGGAGCUCCUGCUGCAUGGUGGGGGUUGGAAAGUUUCGGCGGUUGGGGAUGGACUCGCGGCUUAUCAGCUUGUUGGUGGGGUAGUGGCUUACCAAGGCUUUGACGGGUAGCCGGCCUGAGAGGGUGACCGGCCACAUUGGGACUGAGAUACGGCCCAGACUCCUACGGGAGGCAGCAGUGGGGAAUAUUGCACAAUGGGCGGAAGCCUGAUGCAGCAACGCCGCGUGCGGGAUGACGGCCUUCGGGUUGUAAACCGCUUUCGCCUGUGACGAAGCGUGAGUGACGGUAAUGGGUAAAGAAGCACCGGCUAACUACGUGCCAGCAGCCGCGGUGAUACGUAGGGUGCGAGCGUUGUCCGGAUUUAUUGGGCGUAAAGGGCUCGUAGGUGGUUGAUCGCGUCGGAAGUGUAAUCUUGGGGCUUAACCCUGAGCGUGCUUUCGAUACGGGUUGACUUGAGGAAGGUAGGGGAGAAUGGAAUUCCUGGUGGAGCGGUGGAAUGCGCAGAUAUCAGGAGGAACACCAGUGGCGAAGGCGGUUCUCUGGGCCUUUCCUGACGCUGAGGAGCGAAAGCGUGGGGAGCGAACAGGCUUAGAUACCCUGGUAGUCCACGCUGUAAACGGUGGGUACUAGGUGUGGGGUCCAUUCCACGGGUUCCGUGCCGUAGCUAACGCUUUAAGUACCCCGCCUGGGGAGUACGGCCGCAAGGCUAAAACUCAAAGGAAUUGACGGGGCCCCGCACAAGCGGCGGAGCAUGCGGAUUAAUUCGAUGCAACGCGUAGAACCUUACCUGGGUUUGACAUGGAUCGGGAGUGCUCAGAGAUGGGUGUGCCUCUUUUGAGGUCGGUUCACAGGUGGUGCAUGGCUGUCGUCAGCUCGUGUCGUGAGAUGUUGGGUUAAGUCCCGCAACGAGCGCAACCCUUGUUCACUGUUGCCAGCACGUUAUGGUGGGGACUCAGUGGAGACCGCCGGGGUCAACUCGGAGGAAGGUGGGGAUGACGUCAAGUCAUCAUGCCCCUUAUGUCCAGGGCUUCACGCAUGCUACAAUGGCUGGUACAGAGAGUGGCGAGCCUGUGAGGGUGAGCGAAUCUCGGAAAGCCGGUCUCAGUUCGGAUUGGGGUCUGCAACUCGACCUCAUGAAGUCGGAGUCGCUAGUAAUCGCAGAUCAGCAACGCUGCGGUGAAUACGUUCCCGGGGCUUGUACACACCGCCCGUCAAGUCAUGAAAGUUGGUAACACCCGAAGCCGGUGGCCUAACCGUUGUGGGGGAGCCGUCGAAGGUGGGACUGGUGAUUAGGACUAAGUCGUAACAAGGUAGCCGUACCGGAAGGUGCGGCUGGAUCACCUCCUUU